AUGUGUAUCGUUGAUGUGUUUAUAUUUACUUACUGUAUGGUGAUGGCAAGAAGCAGAAAAAUUUUGAAAUACUGGUUUCUUAUCGCUGUUUUAGUAGUUAUUUUCAUUGCUGAAAUCGUACCCCAUUUAACUGCUGAUGGCGGUUUACCGUGGCCCGACACCAGUGCGAAGUAUGGGACAGUACCAGUCGUAUUUCUUUUAAGUGGCUUAACUCUUCCAACCGAUAAUCUGAUGACUGCUGCUAAACAGUAUGAUUUACAUUUCGUCACCCAGUGUUUUUCACUUGUAUUUACUCCACUCUUCGUCAAACUUUUGACUGUUAUUCUUGCGCCAACUGGUGUGGAUGAUUGGAUUAUGAAAGGUUUUAUCAUUUCUAGCAGUAUGCCUGUCUCAUCGUCAUCCGUCGUGGCUACUAUUUGUGCAGACGGCAACGAGGCAGCUGCAAUAGUAAACUGUAUUGUAGGUGCACUUCUUGGAAUGAUAACGACGCCACUUAUAUUGUUAAUACUGAUAAGAUCAGCAGCAGUGGUUUCACCUGUCAAAUCAUUGCAUGACCUAAUUCUCACUGUGGGCAUACCACUGCUUGUUGGACAAAUUGUUCGCAAAGUAACUGGAAUGAGACUGCAACACAGUAUUGCAUUGAAGAUUAGACAGUUGGCGUUACUGAUGACUGUGUUUAUAACAUUUUGUGACAUAUUUAUGUCACAUCUAGAUGUAGAAUUACAGCCCAUUAAUGUACUAGUUUCAGUUUUCUCAGUGGUAAUUCUACAAAUGACAUUGCUACUUCUCAUUUUUUGGACAACCAGAUAUCUGCCAUCAAAGUUUUCACUACAGGACACAAAGGCAAUUAUGUUCUGUUCAACACACAAGUCUCUCUCCCUUGGAAUUCCGAUUCUAAGGACGAUGUACUCUGGUUAUGGGCAUCUUUAUAGUGCAUCACUGCCAUUGUUGCUGUACUAUCCAAGUCAAAUCAUACUGGGAGAACUGCUUGGACAGCACAUGAAAAACUGGGUGAAUUGGGAUUCUGGACAUGAUAAGUAACAAAAUUAAGUCUCAUGGUGCAUCUGGAUGAAUAUAUUCAAUGAAGAUGCAAAUUUACGUCUGUCAUCAUGCAGAAAGACCCAGGAGAACUGAUUAAUCAUAAGAAUGUUGUUUCAGUGUACUUCGAUUACAGCUUCUUCAACCUAUCUCAACUGGUUUGAAAUUUAAUUCCAAAAGGAAUUUGUGAGGUUAAAUUUUCCCAGUAUAAUGUAUGGUGCUAUAAAACAUUGAAAUUUUUUGGUUAAUAUGAUGAAGAGAAUAAUGCAACAUAUUUGGAGAGGAUACAUUAUGUAGAGAAGCCCAAAUGGAGUACCCAGUUUGGUGAGCACAUCCUGUUUGGCAGUAUGAAAUGUGACUUGAAUUAAGCUGUAGAUAUUAGGGAUGAAAUUGUUUGAUCAAUUCUUUGUUGCAUUCUGUGCAUGUAGCAUUGAAGAUUUAGACUUAGAAAUCCCAUUUGCAUUGUAGAACAUAUAGCUGAUAGGAGAAGAAAAAAUCAUUUCACUGCACACAAGCUUCAAAUUGAAAAAAGGAUCUGUAUUAUUUUGUGAGAAAUAAGAUGAUUUCAAUAAUUAAGAUUUUUGUGCUGUAUAAUUCCUAAUGUGGCUACAGAGUAGUUACGUAAUGCAGCACAACCGCAGAAAAAGAAGCAGAUUUUUUGUUUCAAGUUUGAUAUAAUGAUACAUCUCACUGCUCUACAGGAAGCUGCACUUAAACUUAUUGCCAGGUGUCAAAAAGGAAGAAAACAUCACCUGUGAAAGCCUUCAGUGUAGGUUCAAAUGAAGUAACACUUCCUUUGCAUUUACAAAAAUUAUUGAAGUAAAAUACUAAUGGGGAAAAAAUAUAAUGUCAACAGAAAAUUGAUGCAAGAAUUCAGUGACCUGUAAAUGAGUAGUCUAAUGUAAUUAUACAUUGUUGAAUUUUUCUGUGAGACAGCAUAGUAGUCACGUGUUUCAGAAAGGAAAAUUUGUAUAAUCUUCAAGACUGAAAUCAAAAUAUUUGGAGGUGGGUCCAUGGCACAAAUAUAUGUGGACUGAAGUAUGGAUCACCAUAUUUUGUGACAAAAGCAAGCAGAUUGGUACCAGUGUAGCUGAAUGUUACUUUGUAGUACUUGGUGGCUAAUUAACGAUGACAAGCUGGAGACUUGUCAAACUGACACACUAUCAGUAGAACAGCAUUAAAAUUAAUGGCAAGGAAGUUGAACAAUAAAAUUGAUGGAGCAUGAGUUUUGGAAUAACUGGAGACUAUAUUCAGUAGCAUUAAAUAACAGAUCAAGUUUAGGGACAGUAAGAGGUUUCAGUUGUCUCCCAACCUCACCUAUAUAGAAGGAGAUUUUUAACAGGUUAGUUUUAAUAGCUUGUUAUAAGUAGUGCAAGCAUAGUAGUGGCAAGGCUACAAACAGUAGAUCCAAGUGGACAUUAGUGUAAGUAAAUAGAUGCAAAGCAUAAAUAAGAAC